rnacentral:rRNA from 1 species
GGUUAAGCGACUAAGCGUACACGGUGGAUGCCCUGGCAGUCAGAGGCGAUGAAGGACGUGCUAAUCUGCGAUAAGCGUCGGUAAGGUGAUAUGAACCGUUAUAACCGGCGAUUUCCGAAUGGGGAAACCCAGUGUGAUUCGUCACACUAUCAUUAACUGAAUCCAUAGGUUAAUGAGGCGAACCGGGGGAACUGAAACAUCUAAGUACCCCGAGGAAAAGAAAUCAACCGAGAUUCCCCCAGUAGCGGCGAGCGAACGGGGAGCAGCCCAGAGCCUGAAUCAGUGUGUGUGUUAGUGGAAGCGUCUGGAAAGGCGCGCGAUACAGGGUGACAGCCCCGUACACAAAAAUGCACAUGCUGUGAGCUCGAUGAGUAGGGCGGGACACGUGGUAUCCUGUCUGAAUAUGGGGGGACCAUCCUCCAAGGCUAAAUACUCCUGACUGACCGAUAGUGAACCAGUACCGUGAGGGAAAGGCGAAAAGAACCCCGGCGAGGGGAGUGAAAAAGAACCUGAAACCGUGUACGUACAAGCAGUGGGAGCACGCUUAGGCGUGUGACUGCGUACCUUUUGUAUAAUGGGUCAGCGACUUAUAUUCUGUAGCAAGGUUAACCGAAUAGGGGAGCCGAAGGGAAACCGAGUCUUAACUGGGCGUUAAGUUGCAGGGUAUAGACCCGAAACCCGGUGAUCUAGCCAUGGGCAGGUUGAAGGUUGGGUAACACUAACUGGAGGACCGAACCGACUAAUGUUGAAAAAUUAGCGGAUGACUUGUGGCUGGGGGUGAAAGGCCAAUCAAACCGGGAGAUAGCUGGUUCUCCCCGAAAGCUAUUUAGGUAGCGCCUCGUGAAUUCAUCUCCGGGGGUAGAGCACUGUUUCGGCAAGGGGGUCAUCCCGACUUACCAACCCGAUGCAAACUGCGAAUACCGGAGAAUGUUAUCACGGGAGACACACGGCGGGUGCUAACGUCCGUCGUGAAGAGGGAAACAACCCAGACCGCCAGCUAAGGUCCCAAAGUCAUGGUUAAGUGGGAAACGAUGUGGGAAGGCCCAGACAGCCAGGAUGUUGGCUUAGAAGCAGCCAUCAUUUAAAGAAAGCGUAAUAGCUCACUGGUCGAGUCGGCCUGCGCGGAAGAUGUAACGGGGCUAAACCAUGCACCGAAGCUGCGGCAGCGACGCUUAUGCGUUGUUGGGUAGGGGAGCGUUCUGUAAGCCUGUGAAGGUGUGCUGUGAGGCAUGCUGGAGGUAUCAGAAGUGCGAAUGCUGACAUAAGUAACGAUAAAGCGGGUGAAAAGCCCGCUCGCCGGAAGACCAAGGGUUCCUGUCCAACGUUAAUCGGGGCAGGGUGAGUCGACCCCUAAGGCGAGGCCGAAAGGCGUAGUCGAUGGGAAACAGGUUAAUAUUCCUGUACUUGGUGUUA